UUCUGCAGGCUGAUGUGGUUGGCAGGGCUACCUGCACCCAAGGCCGCCGCCGCCUCACAGGAAACACCUUUCGAUCUGGACAAGUAGUCACCGGAGGCCUGAGUUCUGCCUCGCAGAGCCUGCAGGAAACAGCUGGGAGAAUGCGAGGGCAAGCACUAAGCAUGCUCUCUCUCAAGCUCAGGAUCACCUGCACAGGAGGCAGCUUAUCAGCCCUGGCACUGGGUGAAGCCCCUGAACACCCAGGACUCAUCCUUGGGCAAGAAAUGAGCAUUCCCUGGAGAGACAUCUGGACAAAGACAAUUCUAAAGUGUCCCCAGGCAGGUUAAGAACAACUGGGCAUUCAUCGUAAAGAAUCAUUGGUCUGAGGUUCAAGGUCCCUGUUCCCUGCCGCACCAUCAACACUGGGCCCUCACUGGGACUCUUCUUGGACAUCCUGUAGCUGCCCCGUGUCAUGGAGAUCUUGCAGUUCUGGGUCCACAGGACUGACACCUCUCCCCCACCCCCAUGCUCCAGCAGAUCACAGGGAGUGCGGUUCCAGGAAGUUCACAAGAGAUUGCCCUUUGCAAAGGCCAGAUGAGAGGCCAAAAGCAGAUUUAGGAUAUCAUUCCAUGUUGCUCACUGUGGCAGACCAGACCCUACAGGCUGUAUGUAGUCAAUCAGGAAAGCAACCAUCUUGGCUCCAAAGCAAAGGGAAACACAGAAGAAAACACAAUUCUGUGUGACAAGCGGUGUCAGCCGGCAUGGGAUACGGAAGGAAGCGGUAAGCUGAAGAAGCAAGGGAACAUGCUAGAGUCUUAGCCAGGUCUCAGAAUAAAAGACCUGCAACAACAGGUAAAUGGAUGCUCCAUUUCUCCUAGAACAGGACAACUUUUGCUGUGUGCAACAUGGUCUUCAUACCAAGCAGAGGAAGACAGUGACUGGAUCCACACAUGGCAAAAGUACUGUCCCCGCUAAGACCCAGAGAACUCAAAACUACCUCCUUGGCAAAGGCACACAGAGAGCCUUCCCUACCUCAAGGAGUGUUCCAGGUGUGUAGAGGGCACGAGGUCCUUGUGCUCCCAGAUGAGCCCUGGGGGACACCAGAAGUGUUCCACCCACCUGGGAGUGGGUGUUAG